rnacentral:rRNA from 1 species
CACAUGCAGUCGAGCGGUAAGGCCUUUCGGGGUACACGAGCGGCGAACGGGUGAGUAACACGUGGGUGAUCUGCCCUGCACUUCGGGAUAAGCCUGGGAAACUGGGUCUAAUACCGGAUAUGACCUCCUAUCGCAUGGUGGGUGGUGGAAAGAUUUAUCGGUGCAGGAUGGGCCCGCGGCCUAUCAGCUUGUUGGUGGGGUAAUGGCCUACCAAGGCGACGACGGGUAGCCGACCUGAGAGGGUGACCGGCCACACUGGGACUGAGACACGGCCCAGACUCCUACGGGAGGCAGCAGUGGGGAAUAUUGCACAAUGGGCGAAAGCCUGAUGCAGCGACGCCGCGUGAGGGAUGACGGCCUUCGGGUUGUAAACCUCUUUCU